CAACUUUCAGCAACGGAUCUCUUGGCUCUCGCAUCGAUGAAGAACGCAGCGAAAUGCGAUAAGUAAUGUGAAUUGCAGAAUUCAGUGAAUCAUCGAAUCUUUGAACGCACCUUGCGCUCCUUAGUAUUCUGAGGAGCAUGCCUGUUUGAGUGUCAUUA
rnacentral:rRNA from 3 species